UACGGAGGAUCCGAGCGUUAUCCGGAUUUAUUGGGUUUAAAGGGUGCGUAGGCGGCCAUUUAAGUCAGCGGUGAAAUUUUGCAGCUUAACUGUAACAGUGCCGUUGAUACUGUUUGGCUAGGAUUUGGUUGUAGUGUGCGGAAUGUGUGGUGUAGCGGUGAAAUGCUUAGAUAUCACACAGAACACCGAUUGCGAAGGCAGCACACUAAGUCAUUAUUGACGCUGAGGCACGAAAGUGUGGGGAUCAAACAGGAUUAGAUA
rnacentral:rRNA from 1 species